GACGAACGCUGGCGGCGUGCUUAACACAUGCAAGUCGAACGGAAAGGCCCUGCUUUUGUGUGGUUCUCGAUUGGCGCACGCGUGAGUAACACGUGAGUAUCCUGUCCUUGACUUUGGGAUAACUUUAGGAAACUGGGGCUCUUACCGGAUAGGAGCUCCUGAUGCAUUGUGGGGGUUGGAAAGUUUCGGCGGUUGGGGAUGGACUCGCGGCUUAUCCGCUUGUUGGGGGGGUAGUGGCUUUCCAAGGCUUUGACGGGUAGCCGGCAUGGGAGGGUGACCGGCCACAUUGGGACUGAGAGACGGCCCAGACUCCUACGGGAGGCAGCAGUGGGGAAUAUUGCACAAUGGGCGGAAGCCUGAUGCAGCAACGCCGCGUGCGGGAUGGCGGCCUUCGGGUUGUAAACCGCUUUCGCCUGUGACGAAGCGUGAGUGACGGUAAUGGGUAAAGAAGCACCGGCUAACUACGUG
rnacentral:rRNA from 1 species